rnacentral:rRNA from 1 species
UAGAGUUUGAUCCUGGCUCAGGACGAACGCUGGCGGCGUGCCUAACACAUGCAAGUCGAGCGAUGAAGUUCCUUCGGGAAUGGAUUAGCGGCGGACGGGUGAGUAACACGUGGGCAACCUGCCUCAAAGUGGGGGAUAGCCUCCCGAAAGGGAGAUUAAUACCGCAUAACAUUAUCUCUUUGCAUGAAGAGAUAAUCAAAGGAGUAAUCCGCUUUGAGAUGGGCCCGCGGCGCAUUAGCUAGUUGGUGAGGUAACGGCUCACCAAGGCGACGAUGCGUAGCCGACCUGAGAGGGUGAUCGGCCACAUUGGAACUGAGAUACGGUCCAGACUCCUACGGGAGGCAGCAGUGGGGAAUAUUGCGCAAUGGGGGAAACCCUGACGCAGCAACGCCGCGUGAGUGAUGAAGGUCUUCGGAUUGUAAAACUCUGUCUUUGGGGACGAUAAUGACGGUACCCAAGGAGGAAGCCACGGCUAACUACGUGCCAGCAGCCGCGGUAAUACGUAGGUGGCAAGCGUUGUCCGGAUUUACUGGGCGUAAAGAGUAUGUAGGCGGACAUUUAAGUCAGAUGUGAAAUCCCCGGGCUUAACCUGGGAGCUGCAUUUGAUACUGGGUGUCUAGAGUGUAGGAGAGGAAAGUGGAAUUCCUAGUGUAGCGGUGAAAUGCGUAGAGAUUAGGAAGAACACCAGUGGCGAAGGCGACUUUCUGGACUAUAACUGACGCUGAGAUACGAAAGCGUGGGGAGCAAACAGGAUUAGAUACCCUGGUAGUCCACGCC